rnacentral:rRNA from 1 species
GGCGAACGCUGGCGGCGUGCUUAACACAUGCAAGUCGAACGAUGAAGCCGGAGCUUGCUCCGGUGGAUUAGUGGCGAACGGGUGAGUAACACGUGAGCAAUCUGCCCUUGACUCUGGGAUAACUGCGGGAAACUGUAGCUAAUACCGGAUACGACACCUUGGGGCAUCCCAGGGUGUGGAAAGAAUUUCGGUAAAGGAUGAGCUGGCGGCCUAUCAGCUAGUUGGUGAGGUAAUGGCUCACCAAGGCGACGACGGGUAGCCGGACUGAGAGGGUGACCGGCCACACUGGAACUGAGACACGGUCCAGACUCCUACGGGAGGCAGCAGUGGGGAAUAUUGCACAAUGGGCGAAAGCCUGAUGCAGCAACGCCGCGUGAGGGAUGAAGGCCUUCGGGUCGUAAACCUCUUUUAGCAGGGAAGAAGCGAAAGUGACGGUACCUGCAGAAAAAGCACCGGCUAACUACGUGCCAGCCGCCGCCGUAA